CUAUGGGUCAUACUGGGUGCCUAUGGGUGAUACUGGGUGGCCUGUGGGUUAGACUGGGUGUCCUAAUGGGUGAUACUGGGAGCCCUGUGGGUGAUAACGGGGGCCUAUGGGUGAUGCUGGGUGCCCUAUGAGGGACACUGGGAGCCCUAUGGGUCGUAAUGGGUGUCCUAUGGGUGAUACUGGGUGUCCUGUGGGUGACACUGGGUGCCUAUGGGUCAUUCUUGGAGUCCUGUGGGUCGUAAUGGGAGUCCUGUGGGUGCUAAUGGGGGCCUAUGGGUGCUAAUGGGUGUCCUAUGGGCUGUAAUGGGGUCACAAACCACGUGCCCUAUAGGAUCACACUGGGUGCCCUAUAGGGUCACACACCACCUGCCCUAUAGGGUCACACACCAUGUGCCUUAUAGGGUCACACUGGGUGCCCUAUGGGUUACAUUGGGUGCCCUAUGGGGUCACACAUCACAUGCCUUAUGGGGUCACACUGGGUGCCCUAUGGGGUCACACACCACGUACCCUAUAGGGUCACACCGGGUGCCCUAUGGGGUUAUUCUGGGUACCCUAUGGGGUCACAGUGGGUGCCCUAUGGGGUCAUUCUGGGUGCCCUACGGGGUCACACACCACAUACUCUAUAGGGUCACACCGGGUGCCCUAUGGGGUCAUUCUGGGUGCCCUAUGGGGUCACACUGGGUGCCCUAUAUCCCCCCACCGCCAGCCCUACAGUCCGACCCCAUCCGCCCCACCCGCUCCCAUUUUACCCUAUGUCCUCCCACUGGCUGCCCUAUAGGGCCGUGCCUGUUCCCACCCUAAAAACCCCCACCCCAAAUCCCCCCUUUACCCAGGGAAGUGCCCGAAGCCCCUGAAGAACCGCGACGUGGUGACGCUGCGCUCCUGGCUGCCCAUGGGCGACGACUUCAUCAUCAUGAAUUACUCCGUCAAGCACCCCGUGAGCGAGACGGGGUGGCUGUAGGGUGGCUGUAGGGUGGCUAUAGGGUGACCUAUAGGGUGAGGGAGUUGAGUGCCCCGUUGCUGUGCCCUACAGAGGUACCCACCCAGGAAGGAUAUGGUGAGGGCGGUGUCGCUGCGCACCGGGUAUCUGGUGAGGGGGACGGGGGAACGGAGCUGCUGCAUCACGUAUCUGGCACAGGUCGACCCCAAAGGUAAUGGGGUCGGUGAUGGGGGAAUGGGGUGGGGAUGGGAUGGGAUGGAUGGGGGUUAUGAGAUGGGAUG
rnacentral:lncRNA from 1 species